CAGUAGACGACUGGGUUGAUAGGCCGGAUAUGGAAGCACCGUGAGGUGUGGAGUUGACCGGUACUAAUAGGCCGAGGGCUUGUCCUCAGUUG
rnacentral:rRNA from 1 species